rnacentral:rRNA from 1 species
UGAGGAAUAUUGGUCAAUGGGCGUAAGCCUGAACCAGCCAUCCCGCGUGAAGGAAGAAGGCGCUAUGCGUUGUAAACUUCUUUUCCGGAGGAAUAAAAUUUUGUACGAGUACGAAACUGAAGGUACUCCGGGAAUAAGCAUCGGCUAACUCCGUGCCAGCAGCCGCGGUAAUACGGAGGAUGCGAGCGUUAUCCGGAUUUAUUGGGUUUAAAGGGUGCGUAGGCGGAUUAAUAAGUCAGUGGUGAAAACCUUCAGCUUAACUGGAGACUUGCCAUUGAUACUGUUAGUCUUGAGUACGGUCAAGGUAGGCGGAAUGUGUAAUGUAGCGGUGAAAUGCUUAGAUAUUACACAGAACACCGAUUGCGAAGGCAGCUUACUGGGCCAUUACUGACGCUGAUGCACGAAAGCGUGGGGAGCGAACAGG